rnacentral:tRNA from 1 species
GAAGAGUAUCGCCCCCGGUGGGGUGCCCGGACUUCAAACCCGGUGAGGCCUGUUAACGACAGGCCUGGUGGGUUCGACUCCUGCCUCUU